AGGGUUUGAUUAUGGCUCAGAUUGAACGCUGGCGGCAGGCUUAACACAUGCAAGUCGAGCGGUAGCACAGGGGAGCUUGCUCCCUGGGUGACGAGCGGCGGACGGGUGAGUAAUGUCUGGGAAACUGCCUGAUGGAGGGGGAUAACUACUGGAAACGGUAGCUAAUACCGCAUAACGUCGCAAGACCAAAGAGGGGGACCUUCGGGCCUCUUGCCAUCAGAUGUGCCCAGAUGGGAUUAGCUAGUAGGUGGGGUAAUGGCCCACCUAGGCGACGAUCCCUAGCUGGUCUGAGAGGAUGACCAGCCACACUGGAACUGAGACACGGUCCAGACUCCUACGGGAGGCAGCAGUGGGGAAUAUUGCACAAUGGGCGCAAGCCUGAUGCAGCCAUGCCGCGUGUGUGAAGAAGGCCUUCGGGUUGUAAAGCACUUUCAGCGAGGAGGAAGGUGGUGAGCUUAAUACGCUCAUCAAUUGACGUUACUCGCAGAAGAAGCACCGGCUAACUCCGUGCCAGCAGCCGCGGUAAUACGGAGGGUGCAAGCGUUAAUCGGAAUUACUGGGCGUAAAGCGCACGCAGGCGGUUUGUUAAGUCAGAUGUGAAAUCCCCGGGCUCAACCUGGGAACUGCAUUUGAAACUGGCAAGCUAGAGUCUCGUAGAGGGGGGUAGAAUUCCAGGUGUAGCGGUGAAAUGCGUAGAGAUCUGGA
rnacentral:rRNA from 1 species